AGGCUUAACACAUGCAAGUCGAGCGGGCGUAGCAAUACGUCAGCGGCAGACGGGUGAGUAACGCGUGGGAACGUACCUUUUGGUUCGGAACAACACAGGGAAACUUGUGCUAAUACCGGAUAAGCCCUUACGGGGAAAGAUUUAUCGCCGAAAGAUCGGCCCGCGUCUGAUUAGCUAGUUGGUGAGGUAAUGGCUCACCAAGCGACGAUCAGUAGCUGGUCUGAGAGGAUGAUCACCACAUUGGGACUGAGACACGGCCCAA
rnacentral:rRNA from 1 species